GCUGGCAGUGGGCUGAGCAGGAUUGGAUUUUGUAUGACAUAACUAAAAUUCAACGAAAUAGGAAAAACAAGAGCAACUAAUGACAAUGUGCAAAGAACCUAGAGAGCCUCCUGAAGCAUGGAUGA